rnacentral:ncRNA from 1 species
CUUCCAUAGUAUUAUAUAGGCAAGGCGCCUUCGGAUCCUCGAUGUUACGUUAGGGGAAAACGUAAUUGUGGGGAUAAACUGUCAAACUCCGGGGAACUCCUAAAGCUUAAGGUACCAAGCUAUAGUUGAAAAACUAUAAGUGGCUGAAUUAAUUACUCAGGUAAGGUAACAAGCCUUAAGAUUUGUGAAAACAAAAUGGACAAUCGCGGAUCUAAGUCAACAGUAUUUAAAAAUACUGUUGUAAAAGAGCAACGAGUAGACGGCAGUUGAUCUAUUAAAGAUUUAAUAGGUUUAAGGUGUACUCUUACAGGUUUCGAAAGAAAUAG